rnacentral:lncRNA from 1 species
CUGGCCUCAAGUGACCCUCCCUGGCUUCAGCCUCCCAAAGUAUUGAGAUUACAGUCAUGAGGUACCAUGCCCAGCCAGAAUUCUUUUUUUAUUUAUUUUAAUUUUAUUUAUUUUUAAGUUUUUAAACUUUUUAUUUGCAUAUUUAAAAAAUUGUGCAUUCCAAUAAUUAAAAUCAUUUGAACAACAAGAAAAAAAUGGCACUCUGAUUAAACUGCAUUACAGCCUGCAGGACACCUUGGGCCAGCUUGGUUUUACUUUAGAUUUCACUGUUGUCCCACCCCACUUCUUCCUUCACCAACAUGCAAGUUCUUUCCUUCCCUGCCAGCCAGAUAGACAGAUGGGAGAGGCAGUCGCGGCCUUCGUUGUCAGUAGUUCUUUGAUGUGAAAGGGGCAGCACAGUCAUUUAAACUUGAUCCAACCUCUUUGCAUCUUACA